rnacentral:rRNA from 1 species
UACGAAGGGGGCUAGCGUUGCUCGGAAUCACUGGGCGUAAAGCGCACGUGGGCGGAUCUUUAAGUCAGGGGUGAAAUCCUGGAGCUCAACUCCAGAACUGCCUUUGAUACUGGGGAUCUCGAGUCCGGAAGAGGUGAGUGGAACUCCGAGUGUAGAGGUGAAAUUCGUAGAUAUUCGCAAGAACACCAGUGGCGAAGGCGGCUCACUGGCCCGAUACUGACGCUGAGGCACGAAAGCGUGGGGAGCAAACAGG